CAGCAGUGGGGAAUAUUGCGCAAUGGGGGAAACCCUGACGCAGCAACGCCGCGUGCGGGAUGAAGGCCUUCGGGUUGUAAACCGCUUUCAGCAGGGAAGACAUCGACGGUACCUGCAGAAGAAGCCCCGGCUAACUACGUGCCAGCAGCCGCGGUAAUACGUAGGGGGCGAGCGUUAUCCGGAUUCAUUGGGCGUAAAGCGCGCGCAGGCGGUUGCUCAAGCGGAACCUCUAAUCUCGGGGCUUAACCUCGAGCCGGGUUCCGAACUGGACGACUCGAGUGCGGUAGAGGCAGAUGGAAUUCCCGGUGUAGCGGUGGAAUGCGCAGAUAUCGGGAAGAACACCAACGGCGAAGGCAGUCUGCUGGGCCGUCACUGACGCUGAGGCGCGAAAGCUGGGGGAGCGAACAGGAUUAGA
rnacentral:rRNA from 1 species